AACGAACGCUGGCGGCGUGCCUAACACAUGCAAGUCGAACGGAGUUAUAAGGAAGUAGCAAUACGGAAUUAUGACUUAGUGGCGGACGGGUGAGUAACACGUAGGUAACCAACCCUCGAGCGGGGGACAACCCAGGGAAACUUGGGCUAAUACCGCAUAAGACCACGGCCUGGAAUGGCUGAGGUAAAAGCAGCAAUGCACUUGAGGAUGGGCCUGCGGCCUAUCAGGUAGUUGGCGGGGUAAAGGCCCACCAAGCCUAAGACGGGUAGCCGGACUGAGAGGUUGAACGGCCACACUGGAACUGAGACACGGUCCAGACUCCUACGGGAGGCAGCAGUGGGGAAUUUUGCGCAAUGGGCGAAAGCCUGACGCAGCGACGCCGCGUGGAGGAUGAAGGUCUUCGGAUUGUAAACUCCUUUUAUAGGGGAAAAUAAUGAUGGUACCCUAUGAAUAAGCCACGGCUAACUCUGUG
rnacentral:rRNA from 1 species